UACGGAGGGGGCUAGCGUUGUUCGGAAUUACUGGGCGUAAAGCGCGCGUAGGCGGACCUGCAAGUCGGGGGUGAAAGCCCGAGGCCAUCACCGAUCGACUCUCUUGAUACUGGCGAUCUCGAGUCCGGGAGAGGUGAGUGGAACUGCGAGUGUAGAGGUGAAAUUCGUAGAUAUUCGCAAGAACACCAGUGGCGAAGGCGGCUCACUGGCCCGGUACUGACGCUGAGGUGCGAAAGCGUGGGGAGCAAACAGG
rnacentral:rRNA from 1 species